rnacentral:rRNA from 1 species
CCUACGGGUGGCAGCAGUAGGGAAUCUUUCACAAUGGGCGAAAGCCUGAUGGAGCAACGCCGCGUGCAGGAUGAAGGCCUUCGGGUUGUAAACUGCUUUUAUAAGCGAGAAAUAUGAUGGUAACUUAUGAAUAAGGAUCGGCUAAAUACGUGCCAGCAGCCGCGGUCAUACGUAGGAUCCGAGCAUUAUCCGGGGUGACUGGGUGUAAAGGGUUGCGUAGGUGGCAUAAUAAGUAGCGAGUGAAAUCUGGUGGCUCAACCAUUCAGACUAUUAGCUAAACUGGUAAGCUCGAGACCGUUAGGGGGGAGUAGAAUUUCUAGUGUAGGAGUGAAAUCCGUAGAUAUUAGAAGGAACACCAAUGGCGUAGGCAGGUUGCUGGGACGGUUCUGACACUAAGGCACGAAAGCGUAGGGAGCAAACGGGAUUAGAUACCCUUGUAGUC